CAUCUUAUACGCGUCUGAGUUGUGACCCUGGUUUCUUUCUUUCCCACAAAAAGUUUCUUUCUUUCCCACAAAAUCAACACAUCCCCCAGAUUAUUUCUUUGUCUCAAAACCAAAAACUUCUCACAAAAUCUGCCAGAGAAAGAGGUUACGGUGCAGAGGAGAGAGAGAGAUUGAGGCGGUGGCGGAGGUGGUGGCGGAGACACGCCGGCCUUCUUCCUCAGCUUGCUAGGGUUCUGCUACUGCGUUCAUAACCCCCUAUUAUUCGACAGUUAUUACAUUAACAUGUUCUCCCGUUUUAAAACAGUUGGUGGUCCGCGGUGGUUCACGGUGGAGCUUAGGUUUCCACCAAUCGUCUCUCUUCUAUGGUCAAGACGGGUGAAUCUGAUGCAUCGAAUCGAGUUUUUAAAAUGUGAAUGCUUGCUUCACAGUCAUCGUUAUGCCUAAGAUUGUUGUUUCAUAUGGUAUCGUGGUGUUGAGGUGUAUGUUUCCUCUUUCUCAAAUCUAAUUUUACAUUUACAAUUUUCCCCUAAUUUAUCAUUGUUUUGUAUUCUAGGGUUUAUGUUUCAGGUUAUUACAUUUAAUAAAGGAGAGAAUCAAAUUAAGGCCGUAUAGUGGAAUGGUCAACGUUGACUUUGGAAAAGGAAUUGGGAAAAAAGAUGUGUAUCUAUUGAAUUUCAUCCUUCAUAUCUAUCCAUCUGUUAGUGCUCGGUUUGGAACUGCUCCGUUUUUUUCUGGAACUGGGCAAUGGAUGCAAUGACACAUUUUCUUCCUUCUGUUGAUUUAGAGUGUUCAGGUGGACGGCAAACAAUUGGUGUUUUCAGUCAUAAAAGACUCUCUAUAUCAGUUGGUUACUCAAAAGCUACAUUUGCUCUUGCUGUUCUUGAGGGCAAUACACAACCGAGCGUGUGGUUUCCAGAAGAGGAUUUUUCUAGUGAAAAUUACAGAUAAAUUGAGAUCAUCUUGCAUUGUUUUCUUGAGAUCAUGAACGGGUUGGAUGCUAGCACUCGAAGACGGUUUGAAAAUACGCAACCGGUCCUAGUGUUGAUCGAGUCUUGUUACGAGGAGAAUGAUUGUAUUUUGCUUAUGAAGACGGGAAUGAUACAAGUUAUCAUGUCAAUGCUAGGGUGGGGUGCUUGCUAAAACUUAGAAUAAAAGUUAUGGUAACUUUGUAUUGUAUCUCACUCAUAUCUUUGGUAGCUUAGAAUAAUAUAAAUUCAUAAAAUGUUUCUGUGAAAUAUAAGUAACUGAAACUUUCAAUA